rnacentral:rRNA from 1 species
CGUAGGGGGCAAGCGUUGUCCGGAUUCAUUGGGCGUAAAGAGCUCGUAGGCGGCUCAGUAAGUCGGGUGUGAAACCUCCAGGCUCAACCUGGAGACGCCACCCGAUACUGCUGUGGCUAGAGUCCAGUAGGGGAGCGUGGAAUUCCUGGUGUAGCGGUGAAAUGCGCAGAUAUCAGGAGGAACACCAGCGGCGAAGGCGGCGCUCUGGGCUGGAACUGACGCUGAGGAGCGAAAGCGUGGGGAGCGAACAGGAUUAGAUACCCUGGUAGUCCACGCCGUAAACGUUGGGUACUAGGUGUGGGGUCUUAUCAACGGAUUCCGUGCCGAAGCUAACGCAUUAAGUACCCCGCCUGGGGAGUACGGCCGCAAGGCUA